rnacentral:rRNA from 1 species
GCGGCGGACGGGUGAGUAACACGUGGGUAACCUGCCUGUAAGACUGGGAUAACUCCGGGAAACCGGGGCUAAUACCGGAUGCUUGAUUGAACCGCAUGGUUCAAUUAUAAAAGGUGGCUUUUAGCUACCACUUACAGAUGGACCCGCGGCGCAUUAGCUAGUUGGUGAGGUAACGGCUCACCAAGGCAACAAUGCGUACCCAACCUGAAAGGGUGAUCGGCCACACUGGGACUGAAACACGGCCCAAACUCCUACGGGAGGCAGCAGUAGGGAAUCUUCCGCAAUGGACAAAAGUCUGACGGAGCAACGCCGCGUGAGUGAUGAAGGUUUUCGGAUCGU